rnacentral:sRNA from 1 species
GCUGGGCGUGGUGGUGCAUGCCUGUAAUCCCAGCUACUUGGGAGGCUGAGGCAGGAGAAUCGCUAGAACCCAGGAGAUGGAGAUUGCAGUGAGCUAAGAUCACACCACUGCACUCCAGCCUAGGUGUCAGAGCGAGACUCUGUACUCAAAAAAAAACAAACUUGGAGACCAGGUCUCACUCAGUUGCCCAGGCUGGAGUGCAGUGACACGAUCUCCAUUCACUGUAACCUUGACCUCCUGGGCUCAAGCAAUCCUCCUACCUCA